CUCCCCCUCCACACUUCAGUACACCCUUCCUGUCUUCGUACACCUUACUACACCCCUCCUGUCUGCCCCUAGAGCUUAAUACACCCUGUAUUGCCCCUGCAUCUUACUAAACUAUCCCCGUUUGUCCUUCAUCUCAAUAAACCCUGUCUACGUUCCCUGUCUGCCUGUUUGUUCCAGCUUACUACACCCUGUCUGUCCCUACUCCUUAGUCCACCUUUCCUUUCCCCUACACCUCAAUACUCCCUUCCCAGCCUGCCUCUUAUAUUCAUAUUUAUCGAUUUAUAUUUAUUUAUAGCAUUCUUGGUGUGUUUUGGGAUGUUUUUGUCAGUUUUUGGAUGAGUUUGGGUGUGUUUUGGGGUGUUUUUGUCAUUUUUGGAUGAGUUUCGGUGUGUUUUUGGGGUGUUUUUGUCAGUUUUGAAUGAGUUUGGGUGUGUUUUGGGGUGCUUUUGUCAUUUUUGGAUGAGUUUGGGUGUGUUUUGGGGUGUUUUUGUCAUUUUUGGAUGAGUUUGAGUGUGUUUUGGGGUGUUUUUGUCAUUUUUGAAUGAGUUUGGGUGUAUUUUGGAGUGUUUUGGCCAGUUUUGGAUGAGUUUGGGUGUGUUUUGGGGUAUUUUUGUCAGUUUUGAUGAGUUUGGGUGUGUUUUGGGGUGUUUUUUGUCAGUUUUGGAUGAGUUUGGUAUACCAAAAUUGUGCUUCCGGGAGUUGGAUAUCAAAGUUGAGAGAGAGAGAGAGAGAGAGAGAGAGAGAGAGAGAGAGAGAGAGAGAGAGCAAAUGAUGUAUAAUACUGAACAAAUUAUAAGGGAAAAAGGAAGAGAAUGGGGACGAAUAAAAUAAAUACAUAAUACAUAACAGAAUAUAAUAUAGAACAAAUUAUGAAGGAAAAGAAAAAAAAAAAACUAUAAUAAAUGAAGGGCGCAGCGUGGCGCAGAGCAUAUAAUAACCUGUGGUAGACCAAGCUGUAUAGACCAUUUAAUGAGUAAUUAAAUGGUCUAUACUAAACUAAAUUAUAAUGGCUUAUAAUUUAGUUUUACAUGUUCAUACUUUAUUAAAUUUCACUUGUUUUAUUUUGUAUUAGAAUAGUGUAAUAUGAGAGAAGCUGGAGUUAUUGGAAAAUAUAAUUUGUAGGUUGGUGGGUACGUAUUCCAGUAGUCCACGCUGGCAUAGGAAAGCGGGGAGGACAUCAGGCACACGGAUGGGUGGUGUUGGAAGGGCGUGUGUAUGCCGCUGCUUUAUUUAACCAGGAUUUUCUCUCAACAAGACGGGUGACGCAUGCCAUGCGUAUCAGUGCAAGCUUAGUGCCUGCCGGGAGGUGCCUGGGAGGGCCGAGAGCUGUUCGUGAGGGCCAGGAAGGCUCAUAAUAUUGCAAGUGACUCGCCCACCACUUGUCCCCCUGGUGGACUGCUCACAGACGCUGUGGUGUAGUAGGAGACUACCCCAUCCCCUGCCUCCCGCCCUGCCCCACCCAGACACCAUGGCCCAGCAGCGACGCCAUUCCACCUGCUACAUGACCCUGGCUGACGCACUCCUGAUGUGGCAGCGACAGGAGGCGGAGGGCAGGAGCAAGAGUCGGAUGGUGGUGGUGGCUGUGGAGGGUGUUUGUGCAGGGUACCUCGGCAGGGUCUAGGUUUGCAGCAAACCUUGAAGGUUCCAGAGCUGCUCAGCAAGUGCCCAGUCCAGACUGUCACAAGACUGUGUGAUGGAGGACCUUCCACUGAUACUCAUUGAUAACAACUGUGCACUGCCACUCACAGGAAAUAUUGAGUUGUCUUGAACCUGAGAUGAGUUGGUCAGCUAAUGAGUGGCUUGGAUCAAGUGACUGUGAGGUGUCGGAUGUUGCUGCAAGUGUAACCAGUAAUAAUGUUGAUUGUGUGUGCGUUUUCCUCGGGUGGCGCUGUGGAUAGCAAGCAGAAGAGACCUUGGGAGACUUCUGUAAAUGAGGAGCAACAGGCACACCUCACUGGAGCCUUUCAGGAACCAACAGUCAGAGAGCUCUUGUACCACACUUGCCGAUUCUUGUCAACCUGAGUGAGACCAGUGUUGAGAGGACUUCUGCCUUUGCAAGUUGCCCUGAAGGACAUGAGGGUCCCAAUGCUCAUCAUAUCCACUAAGGAGCUCAGUUCGAAAAACUGCCUGAACAUAAAUAAAAAUUAAUGUAAUGAAGAGUUAAGUCAAGGCUAACUAAUAUCAACUCAAGUCUUAAGUUAUCCAUCUUGGCUUCAACAACAUGCCAGACUGCCUACCAGCAAAUAUGCCAGGGAGAGCAGUUGCAAUCAAUGGUGGGAGUCUGGAAUUUCUUGAUGAUCUUGGAGAAAAAAGGGAACACCAGACCAUCACUGGCCAUGGCACAGAUGAUACGAGGAAGAGGGAACACUGCACCAAACAGGCUGUAAGGGAGAUCACAGCAUAUAAAAUUAAACUAAUGGAAUCCUUGAAAAAGUAUGAGAUGCUUAAAGGUUUUAGUGCUUCAUCUCAAUUAAUUUUAGUUGUUUCUAGGGGGAAGUUUUUAAGUUUUCAAGCACUUGUUUUUGUGAUUCCAGUGAUAAUUUAACAAUGUUGAGAAGAUGCUAAGAUUUUCCAGGAUGAUUUCAUGAUUUAAGUGAUAAUAUAACAAAGUUCUAUGGGAAAUUAAAAUAUUUCCAUGAUUCUAGUGAUAUUGUAGCCAAGAUUCUUCACUGUCAAUGGAAAAACACCAAAGAGGUCCUAAAUAAUCGUCUCUGUAAACUUUGAAAACAGUUGUGAUGAAAGAGGAAAGUGUUUCAAAAUACUGUACCAGGUCUUGAUAAUGAACUGAAUACAAGACUUGCCAAGCACCACCAAGCACUAGCAAUUAGAUUUAACUAAAGAGAUAAGAAGGAAUUGGUUCUCAAAUAGAGGGGCAGAGAUGUAUGGAAUAGAAAGGACUGAGUUUUCAGGUUGUUAGUGCUGAGUCAUUAGAGAGCUUGAAAACAAGACAAAUUCAUGGAUGAGGAUGAUAGGUGGAAACAGGAAGGUAUAUUUGAUACGGGAAAUGCUAGAUGUAGGGAUGGUGGCUUCCUGCAGCUUCCCUUAUCUUCUUGCAAUAAGAGAGGCUGAAGAUAGUCUGUUAGAGAAGAGGAGUUGAUAAGAUGAAAAGCUUUUGAUUUCACCCUCUCUAAAAUAGUGGUUUGAGUGAACUCUCCCCCACCCACCCAAACACAUGAAGCAAACUACAUACAUGAACAGAUAAGGCCCCUGUACAGUUAGCAACUGGGGUGGGAGGGGAUUGGGGGUGAGAAACCAGGCAGAGAUGACUCAGAAUGCCUGACUUCAUAGAAGCUGCUUUAGCUAGAGAGAUGUGAGGUUUCCAGUUAAGAUUAUAAAUGAAAGACAGACCGAAGAUGUUCGGUGUAGAAGAGAGGGACAGCUGAGUAUCAUUGAAGAAGGGUGUAGAGAUAUCUGGAAGAUUGUGGGAAGUUGAUAAAUGGAAGAACUGAGUUUUUAAGGCAUUGAUCAUUACUAAGUUUGCUCUGCCCCCAGGUUUCUAUCAAAUUCUGUCUUUCCAAAAAUGCAUCUCUGUCAAAUUCUGUCUUUCCAAAAAUGUAAACUGAAUUUUUUCACAAGGAUAUUUCUCAUCCCUUGCAUCUUUUUAGUCAUUCCCCUUUGUACUGAUUCUAAAAGACCUAUAUUCUCUCAAGGAACUGAAAUUCUACACCAUAAUCUAGAUAAAGUCUGACCAGCACCAAAUAUAACUUUAAUAUUACUUCAGGGCUUCCACUUUCAACACUACUAAAGAUUAGUCAGUAUUACUUCAGGACUUGUACUUUUAACACUAUUAAAGAUUAUUUCUAAUACACAA